GCAAGUAAAAAUGUAUCUAGGAAUAAAGAGUUGGAAGUAUUAUACUAGUAGUAAUAUAUCAUCCACCAUCUUCUGCUUGCAUAUUUCUGAAAACAUCUUAGUGGUGUGGCAGCCCUGCAAACCCUGUUGAUGGAUGAUGCAGUGUACAGUGGGAGGAAGCAUCCUAAAGCUCUCUUUGCAGACCACCCUGUGUGAUUCUUUACUCGUCAACAAAUCCCAGGUCUCAGUUGCAGCACCCCAUCCAGGUCUGAUCUGGCUUUAGAAGAUCCAACAACACUGCCAGAGACUUCCUGUUUCUUCAAACUAUUAAAGUUUUUAAAAAAAAAGGUCCAGGAAUAGGUCACUCAGGUUAAUCCUCUGUGAACAACUGUAAACAUGUCAUGGUUCUGAGGAUUUGGAGAGGGUAUGGUGUGUUUUUGUCUUUGUCUGGACUUUGCUUCCUCACCUCUGAACCUGUUCUCAACGCACACCUGUAGCUCGUUCACACUGAUUCUGCUCUGGCUUUUCAUCACAAGGAUUAUUCCUGGCAGACUACUUAAGAUGGCAGGAGAUGCUGCUUCUUUGCUGGAUUGUCGCACUACCUGGCACCUCUCGGAAUGUCUGCUCGUCUCUCCUGCUGCCUGCAUGCCUGUGGAUGUGUCACGGACUGUGUAAAAGAGGAGCGUGUGUGUGCCUGCCCUGGACCUUCCCUCACCUUCGGACCCCCCCACCCCCUGGAGCCCCAUGUUACCUGUUCCACUGUAUAUAUGUAUCUAUCCUCACCUGGUGCCACAUUGUAAAUAAAUCCUUCACCAUCUCUCUAAAGUCUCUAAAUUAGAGUCCUGCGAACAAAAUUCUCCAGUAUGGAUCGCAAUGAAUUCUGGGAUAGGGUGGGCCACGAAAGAUACACCCAACCCAUCCUUCAAAUCCAGGGAAAUGGAGGAUGCAUUUGUGGGCCGCAUUUGGAGCAGCCUUCAAAUUUGGACAGCCUUCAUCACCUGGCUGUGACUUAAUCAGCCUACAAAUGCGGCUUCCAAAG
ensembl:lncRNA